rnacentral:rRNA from 1 species
AACCCCUGCUGCCUGUUGCCACCACGAGAGGGUGGGACUCAGGCGGGACCGCCGGUGACAAACCGGAGGAAGGUGGGGACGACGUCAAGUCAUCAUGGCCCUUAUGUCCUGGGCUACACACGUGCUACAAUGGCCGGUACAGAGCGCAGCGAGGCCGCGAGGCGGAGCGAAUCGCUUAAAGCCGGUCCCAGUACGGAUUGGAGUCUGCAACCCGACUCCAUGAAGUUGGAAUCGCUAGUAAUCGCGCAUCAGCAUGGCGCGGUGAAUACGUUCCCGGGCCUU